rnacentral:rRNA from 1 species
AGAAUCAACGCUGGCGGCGUGCCUAACACAUGCAAGUCGAACGCGAAAGUCCCGCAAGGGAUAAGUAGAGUGGCAAACGGGUGAGUAACACGUGGGUGACCUGCCUUCGAGUGGGGGAUAACGUCCCGAAAGGGACGCUAAUACCGCAUGACAUCCUGUCUUUGGAAAGACGGAGAUCAAAGCUGGGGAUCGCAAGACCUGGCGCUUGAAGAGGGGCCCGCGCCUGAUUAGCUAGUUGGUGGGUAACGGCCUACCAAGGCGACGAUCAGUA